rnacentral:tRNA from 1 species
GGUGGCUCAGUGGUAGAGCACUUGCCUUGCAUGCAAGAGACCCUGGGUUUGAUUCCCCAGCACCA